rnacentral:misc_RNA from 1 species
CAACCCUCAGGAUCUCCGGCCGUAGCGCCGGAGCUGCUGGUGUUGGGGAUCCGGGCCAGCCCCACGCGGGUCGGCGCCCGGACCCCGAAAGACAGUGGCGGCCCUGCCGUAGCGUCCUCUGCGUAGUAGCAACACCUCGCACCGGAGCGCGGCGCGGCCAUGCCGUAAAGCGCAGGCACGCCUGCACCACUUCAAU